rnacentral:rRNA from 1 species
CAGUCGCCGCGGUAAUACGAAGGGUGCAAGCGUUAAUCGGAAUUACUGGGCGUAAAGCGUGCGUAGGCGGUUUGUUAAGUCUGCUGUGAAAUCCCCGGGCUCAACCUGGGAAUGGCAGUGGAUACUGGCAAGCUAGAGUGUGUCAGAGGAUGGUGGAAUUCCCGGUGUAGCGGUGAAAUGCGUAGAGAUCGGGAGGAACAUCAGUGGCGAAGGCGGCCAUCUGGGACAACACUGACGCUGAGGCACGAAAGCGUGGGGAGCAAACAGGAUUAGAUACCCCUGUAGUCCCUGUCUCUUAUAA